rnacentral:miRNA from 1 species
GCUGAACUCUCGUGGGUCUGC